GACGAACGCUGGCGGCGUGCUUAACACAUGCAAGUCGAACGGAAAGGCCCUGCUUUUGUGGGGUGCUCGAGUGGCGAACGGGUGAGUAACACGUGAGUAACCUGCCCUUGACUUUGGGAUAACUUCAGGAAACUGGGGCUAAUACCGGAUAGGAGCUCCUGCCGCAUGGUGGGGGUUGGAAAGUUUCGGCGGUUGGGGUUGGACUCGCGGCUUAUCAGCUUGUUGGUGGGGUAGUGGCUUACCAAGGCUUUGACGGGUAGCCGGCCUGAGAGGGUGACCGGCCACAUUGGGACUGAGAUACGGCCCAGACUCCUACGGGAGGCAGCAGUGGGGAAUAUUGCACAAUGGGCGGAAGCCUGAUGCAGCAACGCCGCGUGCGGGAUGACGGCCUUCGGGUUGUAAACCGCUUUCGCCUGUGACGAAGCGUGAGUGACGGUAAUGGGUAAAGAAGCACCGGCUAACUACGUG
rnacentral:rRNA from 1 species